rnacentral:rRNA from 1 species
GAUGAACGCUGGCGGCGUGCCUAAUACAUGCAAGUCGAGCGAACAGACGAGGAGCUUGCUCCUUUGACGUUAGCGGCGGACGGGUGAGUAACACGUGGGUAACCUACCUAUAAGACUGGGAUAACUUCGGGAAACCGGAGCUAAUACCGGAUAAUAUUUCGAACCGCAUGGUUCGAUAGUGAAAGAUGGCUCUGCUAUCACUUAUAGAUGGACCUGCGCCGUAUUAGCUAGUUGGUAAGGUAACGGCUUACCAAGGCAACGAUACGUAGCCGACCUGAGAGGGUGAUCGGCCACACUGGAACUCAGACACGGUCCAGACUCCUACGGGAGGCAGCAGUAGGGAAUCUUCCGCAAUGGGCGAAAGCCUGACGGAGCAACGCCGCGUGAGUGAUGAAGGUCUUCGGAUCGUAAAACUCUGUUAUUAGGGAAGAACAAACGUGUAAGUAACUGUGCACGUCUUGACGGUACCUAAUCAGAAAGCCACGGCUAACUACG